rnacentral:lncRNA from 1 species
CCACUCCUCACUUCAGGCACAGAAUUUCAAGCUCAAUUUCAGGCUCACAGACAGAAAAGAACUCUAAUACGCCAACUAGUGGCUACUACUGUAACCUCUCAAAGUACGCUAAAUUAUGAAUGUUCACAUGUGUCAGAUCAUAUCAAUAGCAAAUAUUUCAACUGUUUUCAUAAUUAUUGUAUUUUUAUAAAGCUCAAAAUUAUUUUCGUCAACUUAUAGGAACAUUUUUAAUCUAUCAAAACGGAAUUCCCAUCAACACCUAAUAAAAGUAAUAUAUUGUUAUGUGUAUGGUUGUAAAGCCCGGUGCACACGACGCUUGUUUUGCUGCUGGAUUGCUUGCGAGGACCCAGGAUGGCUACUCUGCUGGCUGCGCGGCAAGAAAGUGACGUCACUGCUGGCUCCGAAGCGUGCUCGCGUGCUAGUUUUCGGUGAUAGAUCGUGUGCUAUUUUCUUUGAUGGCUUGCUUGCGAGAUUGAAUGGCAGCUUUCCAUUGUAAAUAUUUCUGGUGUAUCCCUGAGCCCGGAUUGGCCGCUUACGACAGGAAUGUUUACACUGUGUGAUACUCGUAAAGUGAAAAGAUCAUAAUAUUUUUCGCGGUUUUUCGUUAAUUGAAAUAUUAAUCAAUGGCUCCAAAGUAGUCUUCGGAGCAAAUAAACGUCCUAAUACACGCAUACAAAGAAGAGCAGUGUUUGACGGCAAAAGACUGUUCAAACAAAUUCCACAGCUUAAGGAAUCAGUUUAAUAGCCACAGCACAGUCACGCGCAUAACGGCAAGCAGUGUGAAGCCAAUCUCGCAGGGAAGUCAUCAUAGCAUCUACACUCAACGUCAUAGCACUCACAAUCAGCACCGCAGCCAACUUCGAUCCCAGCGGCAAAUCUAGCAAGCAAUCCAGCCGCAAAAAGCGUCGUGUGCACCGGGCUUUAGUGAUCAUAGAAAUAGAUUGUAGAUUUCAUAGAUUUUCGGUAAUUAUUUACAAGUGGGGUCUACGCUAUUUUUAGCCAUAAAAAAUCGAAAAAUUAACAUUGUAUCUUCAAUCAUUGUAUCGUUGAAGCAUUCUCGUCGAUUCUCGUACCACUUUCCCAGUAAAUUUGGCAAUCAAUUUUUUUAAAUUAAACUCUAAAGUUCAGUAUUUACAUGAGUGUUAAACACCAUUUUCUGCUCUGAUAGUCAAUGUUUUUAUGUAAGAUAGUUCCUAUAUAUUAGACAAGUGCGUUCGACACCAAAUACAACUAUCUCUCUCUCACCGUAGGUCGCUACACGAAAUAUAGGCUCGCGCGCGUUCCAGUUUAGUAUAGAGUUCAGUGCAAAAAUGAUACGGUGCGUUUUUUCAAUUUUCCUCGAAAAAAUGGAAGUGUAGUCAUUGUUACAAAUAAGAAGAACUCGAUCGUUUAAAUGCAUGGGUUAAAUUUAGAAAAAUAGCCACCAGAGGACUGAUAUUCAAGCCACGCCUAUUCGAAGGAUGCCAUAAAAAUCCGUAGAUCAUUUAAAAAAUACAAAAGAUUUGCCAUCUCACAUACGCAGAAUUCAUUGGGGGUUCUGGAAUGUAAUGAAGAGUUCAAAAGUUUUUUCACGUCCUUUCAGAUAUACAUGAGAGCAUAAACUAUGACAUUAUAUAUUUCAACGACAUGGCAAUGGUUGAAAGUGUUGCUGGAACAGAAUCGUGGGAUACAAGAGAGAGCGAUGCAGCUUGGAGGGCUAGUUUCAAGCACUUGGCUUCACCCCAUCCUUGUUCAAUACCAAAAAUUACGCCUGCAGCAAGACAAUCUCCGCAG